GCUUCCCCUCUUGAAAUCAACAUUUUGUUUUGAUUUUUCGGUACUUAAGUAAGGUCACUCAUCAGUGAGCAGGAAGUGUCUUCUCGGUACUUGUGUGAUGAAGGCCAAAAUUGGUUUUCUAACUUAUUAUUGUAGGUGCUUUAGAAAGUGCAAGUAUGUGUCACAAUAAUGCCUGGAAAUCAGCCAGUGGCUGCAUUAUUUGAGCUAUUUUGGCGUCUCUGCCAUCCUAUAGUUGUUCAGUUUUCUCUUUUGAAACGAGGCUAUCUAGAGGAUUUCAUGUCGUGGUUUAGGAAGGUAACUAUUAUUGGUUAUAGUGAAUGAUUUUGUUGGACUAUCUGUUCAUUUGGCUAUCUUAAUGCAGUCCCAUGUGCAUACUUUUUGCAGGCAUCAAUGAAGAUUGGGAGGUAGAGAGGGA
rnacentral:lncRNA from 1 species